AACGAACGCUGGCGGCAGGCCUAACACAUGCAAGUCGAACGCCCCGCAAGGGGAGUGGCAGACGGGUGAGUAACGCGUGGGAACGUGCCUUUCGGUUCGGAAUAGGCCGGGGAAACCCGGGUUAAUACCGGAUACGUCCUUCGGGAGAAAGAUUUAUCGCCGAGAGAUCGGCCCGCGUCUGCUUAGCUAGUUGGCGGGGUAAUGGCCCACCAAGGCGACGAUCAGUAGCUGGUCUGAGAGGAUGAUCAGCCACACUGGGACUGAGACACGGCCCAGAUUCCUACGGGAGGCAGCAGUGGGGAAUAUUGGACAAUGGGCGCAAGCCUGAUCCAGCCAUGUCGCGUGAGUGAUGAAGGCCCUAGGGUUGUAAAGCUCUUUCGGCGGGGACGAUAAUGACGGUACCCGCAGAAGAAGCCCCGGCUAACUUCGUGCCAGCCGCCGCGGUAA
rnacentral:rRNA from 1 species